rnacentral:rRNA from 1 species
UUAUUUUAAAUGAAUGUAAUGGAUGUAACACAUCUCAUACUAAGUUUCAACAACGGAUCUCUUGGCUCUCGCAUCGAUGAAGAACGCAGCGAAAUGCGAUAAGUAAUGUGAAUUGCAGAAUUCAGUGAAUCAUCGAAUCUUUGAACGCACCUUGC